UGGGCAUGAUGUUAUACACAAUAUUUGCUACUUUAGAGAGCUUUCUAGUCUCUGUGAAAUUAGAAAUUAUCACCAAGAUCUCUGACCA
rnacentral:snoRNA from 1 species